GGAAAGUUAGCUUAAUGUGGGCAAAGCGUUUAAUUAAAGAUUAAAAGAAGUGAGUUCAAAUCUUACACUUUCCU
rnacentral:tRNA from 1 species